rnacentral:misc_RNA from 1 species
GGGCAGGGUGAAUCAUCGAAUCUUUGAACGCACAUUGCGCCCGCCAGCAUUCUGGCGGGCAUGCCUGUCCGAGCGUCAUUUCAACCCUCAGGCUCCCGCGCCUGGCGUUGGGGAUCGGCCUUCACCGGCCGGCCCCGAAAUACAGUGGCGGCCCCGCCGUAGACCUCCUCUGCGUAGUAGCACACACCUCGCAGCCUGGGAGCGCGGCGGCGGCCACGCCGGAAAACCCCCGACUUCUGAAAGUUGACCUCGGAUCAGGUAGGAAUACCCGCUGAACUUAAGCAUAUCAAUAAGCGGAGG